rnacentral:rRNA from 1 species
CAGGGCUUGACAUCCCGGUGACCGGACUAGAGAUAGUCUUUUCCCUUCGGGGACACCGGUGACAGGUGGUGCAUGGUUGUCGUCAGCUCGUGUCGUGAGAUGUUGGGUUAAGUCCCGCAACGAGCGCAACCCUUAUUGUUAGUUGCUACGCAAGAGCACUCUAGCGAGACUGCCGUUGACAAAACGGAGGAAGGUGGGGACGACGUCAAAUCAUCAUGCCCCUUAUGUCCUGGGCCACACACGUACUACAAUGGUGGUUAACAGAGGGAAGCAAUCCCGCGAGGAGGAGCAAAUCCCUAAAAGCCAUCCCAGUUCGGAUCGCAGGCUGCAACCCGCCUGCGUGAAGUUGGAAUCGCUAGUAAUCGCGGAUCAGCAUGCCGCGGUGAAUACGUUCCC